CCACGGCGCGGUGCGGCGCGGGGCGUGGGGAAGCCGCCUGCGAGCGGGCGCCGGGAAAUAUAGCGGCAUUCCGCCGUUUCCGACUCUUCUCUCUCCCCCCGCUUUCCUGCUCCGUGCCCCCUUCCCAUCUCCGGCAACUAGGCUUACCCGCGACGACACAGUUCGCUCUCCUACGCUAGCCAGCCACCACACCGCCCGCCUCAGCCGGUACUCGAGGUCGCCCAGCAGCGGCGCCUCUCUGCCGCAGCGCAGUCCCAAACCCCCAAUCCCCCCGCCGCGGUCUCACCUGCGCCGGUGCUCCUUGCCGCCCUAGACGCGGCAGAUCUCCGAGCUCCCCACCGCAGCGGUGCCGUAGAGGUAGAGGUCUUGUUCUAACCAUCACACACACUAAGUUGGAAAAUUUCUAGGCUUGCUUGAGGAUAAGGAGUGGCUGUGUGUCAUAGAGCCACGUCCUUGUGGCUCUCGGAGACUCUACUCUAUCUGAGAGUUCAAUUGGAGUUGAGGUCUUGUUCUAACCAUCACGCACACUAAGUCGGAAAAUUUCUAGGCUGGCUUGAGGAUAAGGAGAGACUGUGUGUCAUAGAGCCACGUCCUCGCGGCACUCGGAGACUCCACUCUCUGUGAGACUUCAAUUGGAGUUGUGGUGUUUUUCUAACCAUCACACACACUAAGCCGGAAAAUUUCUAUGCUGGCUUGAGGAUAAGGGGUGACUGUGUGUCAUAGAGCCACGUCUCGUGGCUGUCCGAGCCUCCACUCUCUCUGAGACUUCAAUUGGAGUUGAGGUUGGAAUAUAGUGAGCACUAAACUCAUGUUUUUGCCAAGUUCUUUUGAACAAAGGUUAAACAUGAGAAUGGAAUUCCUUAUCAAGAAUGGUUCAUGGAAUAUGAGAACGGAACUCCCGUUUCUAUAUUUCAAUCAAGUUAUCAAGAAUGUUUGGGGACCAUGUUAUUUGUUAAAUGACUGGUACACCAUAGACCAUGAGGAUGGAACUCUUGGUUGUCUCAAGCAAUUAAGCAAGAAUGGUUGGAGAUCAUGUUCUUUGGAGAUAUACCAUGAGAAUCAAACUCUUUUUAUUAUCUUAGCGGUCAUUUUGCAAGGCAAUGUUUUCAAGCCAAUACAUGAACAAGUUUUAGUGUAUUCCAAACUGGUAAAUGGAGUAAAUUGCUUGUAACGUUUCAUUUUGUGGUGUAAAUGUAAAUUUUAUAGUCCUUGAUGAAUUACUUUAAAUCUAAACUCAUGCCAGUUCUCCAAAAUGCUAAUUGUCCAUUGUCAUGUGGUUUGGUGGGUGCGAGUGUUUGCAUGUGGCAUGUUUGUGCCAUUUUUGCUGUUUCUGUGAAGUUGGAGUUGCCAUCUCGUGUAUGUGCGAUGAGGCGCCAAUGUUGGUG